rnacentral:tRNA from 1 species
GCCGAGGUGGCACAACCUGGUACUGCGCAAGCCUGGAAAGCUUGUGCCCGCAAGGGCUUGAGGGUUCAAAUCCCUCCUUCGGCG